rnacentral:rRNA from 1 species
GUUUGAUUAUGGCUCAGGAUGAACGCUAGCUACAGGCUUAACACAUGCAAGUCGAGGGGCAGCAUGAUCAAAGCUUGCUUUGAUUGAUGGCGACCGGCGCACGGGUGAGUAACGCGUAUCCAACCUUCCCUAUAGUAGUGGAUAGCCCGGCGAAAGUCGGAUUAAUACACUAUGUUGUAUUUAGAGGACAUCUGAAGAAUACCAAAGGCUUGCCGCUAUAGGAUGGGGAUGCGUCUGAUUAGAUAGUAGGCGGGGUAACGGCCCACCUAGUCGACGAUCAGUAGGGGUUCUGAGAGGAAGGUCCCCCACAUUGGAACUGAGACACGGUCCAAACUCCUACGGGAGGCAGCAGUGAGGAAUAUUGGUCAAUGGACGGGAGUCUGAACCAGCCAAGUAGCGUGCAGGAUGACGGCCCUAUGGGUUGUAAACUGCUUUUAUACGGGGAUAAAGUGAGCCACGUGUGGCUUUUUGUAGGUACCGUAUGAAUAAGGACCGGCUAAUUCCGUGCCAGCCGCAGC